ensembl:lncRNA novel transcript (contains ZIM2-AS1 and PEG3-AS1)
AGCCUGGGUGACAGAGCGAGACUUCGUCUCAAAAAAAAAGAAGAAGAAAGAAGGAAGCUGAGGUUCAGACAGGCUAAGUCCCUACUGCAGGCUGCGGAAUCUAAAAAGGUCAUGAACUCUGAGAGUUUGAGAUGAGCCUCUAAAAGCUGUAUCAAUAGCACCUUGCACUGUUGAAGCAGAUAGUGUCUUGCAAUGUCGCCCAGGCUGGAGUGCAGUGGUGCCCCUCCUGUUGUGAAUAAUCAAAGAAGACUUCGUAUAGCCAAGACAAUCCUAAGCAAAAAGAAUAAAGCUGGAGGCAUCACGCCACCCGACUUCAAACUAUACUACAAGGCUACAGUAACCAAAGCAGCAUGGUACUGGUACCAAGACAGAUAUAUAGACCAAUGGAGCAGAACAGAGACCUCACAAAUAACACUACACAUCUACAACCAUCUGAUCUUCGACAAACCUACCAAAAACAAGCAAUGGGGAAAGGACCUCCUAUUCAGUAAAUGGUACUUGGAAAACUGGCUAGCCAUAUGCAGAAAACUGAAACUGGAUCCCUUCCUUACACUUUGUACAAAAAUUAAUUCAAGGUGGAUUAAAGACUUAAUUGUGAAACUGAAAACCAUAAAAACCGUAGAAGAAAACCUAGGCAAUACCAUUCAGGACAUAGGCAUGGACAAAGACUUCAUGACAAAAAUGCCAAAAGCAAUGGCAACAAAGGCCAAAAUUGACAAAUGGGAUCUAAUUAAACUAAAGAGCUUCUGCACAGCAAAAGAAACUAUCGUCAGAGUGAACAGGCGACCCACAGAAUGGGAGGAAAUUUUUGCAAGCCAAAGAAACUAUCAUCAGAGUGAACAGGCGACCCACAGAAUGGGAGGAAAUUUUUGCAAGCAAAAGAAACCAUCGUCAGAGUGAACAGGCGACCCACAGAAUGGGAGGAAAUUUUUGCAAG